UGGGGAAUUUUGGACAAUGGGCGAAAGCCUGAUCCAGCAAUACCGCGUGUGUGAAGAAGGCCUUCGGGUUGUAAAGCACUUUUGUCCGGAAAGAAAUCCUUGGCUCUAAUACAGUCGGGGGAUGACGGUACCGGAAGAAUAAGCACCGGCUAACUACGUGCCAGCAGCCGCGGUAAUACGUAGGGUGCAAGCGUUAAUCGGAAUUACUGGGCGUAAAGCGUGCGCAGGCGGUUUGCUAAGACCGAUGUGAAAUCCCCGGGCUCAACCUGGGAACUGCAUUGGUGACUGGCAGGCUAGAGUAUGGCAGAGGGGGGUAGAAUUCCACGUGUAGCAGUGAAAUGCGUAGAGAUGUGGAGGAAUACCGAUGGCGAAGGCAGCCCCCUGGGCCAAUACUGACGCUCAUGCACGAAAGCGUGGGGAGCAAACAGGAUUAGAUACCCUGGUAGUCCACGCCCUAAACGAUGUCAACUAGUUGUUGGGGAUUCAUUCCUUAGUAACGUAGCUAACGCGUGAAGUUGACCGCCUGGGGAGUACGGUCGCAAGAUUAAAACUUAAAGGAAUUGAAGGGUCGAU
rnacentral:rRNA from 1 species